rnacentral:rRNA from 1 species
CCUACGGGGGGCAGCAGUAGGGAAUAUUGCUCAAUGGGGGAAACCCUGAAGCAGCAACGCCGCGUGGAGGAUGAAGGUUUUCGGAUUGUAAACUCCUUUUGUUAGAGAAGAUAAUGACGGUAUCUAACGAAUAAGCACCGGCUAACUCCGUGCCAGCAGCCGCGGUAAUACGGAGGGUGCAGGCGUUACUCGGAAUCACUGGGCGUAAAGCGCGCGUAGGCGGGAUAGCAAGUCAGAUGUGAAAUCCUAUGGCUUAACCAUAGAACUGCAUUUGAAACUGUUAUUCUAGAGUAUGGGAGAGGUAGGUGGAAUUCUUGGUGUAGGGGUAAAAUCCGUAGAGAUCAAGAGGAAUACUCAUUGCGAAGGCGACCUGCUAGAACAUAACUGACGCUGAUGCGCGAAAGCGUGGGGAGCAAACAGGAUUAGAUACCCUGGUAGUC